rnacentral:rRNA from 1 species
AAAGAAACCAACAGGGAUUGCCCCAGUAACGGCGAGUGAAGCGGCAACAGCUCAAAUUUGAAAUCUGGCCCCAGGCCCGAGUUGUAAUUUGCAGAGGAUGCUUUUGGCGCGGUGCCUUCCGAGUUCCCUGGAACGGGACGCCAUAGAGGGUGAGAGCCCCGUACGGUUGGACACCAAGCCUUUGUAAAGCUCCUUCGACGAGUCGAGUAGUUUGGGAAUGCUGCUCUAAAUGGGAGGUACAUUUCUUCUAAAGCUAAAUAUUGGCCAGAGACCGAUAGCGCACAAGUAGAGUGAUCGAAAGAUGAAAAGCACUUUGAAAAGAGGGUUAAACAGCACGUGAAAUUGUUAAAAGGGAAGCGCUUGUGACCAGACUUGCGUCCGGUGAAUCACCCAGCUCUCGCGGCUGGGGCACUUCGCCGGCACAGGCCAGCAUCAGCUUGCCGUCGGGGACAAAAGCUUCAGGAACGUGGCUCCUCUCGGGGAGUGUUAUAGCCUGUUGCAUAAUACCCUUCGGCGGGCUGAGGUACGCGC